UGCGGCAGGCCCAGGGCGCGGCCCCGCAGACUGCAGCCAGGGCACAAGUAUUGUUACACGAGGCUGCGCACAGUAGGUGCUGGGGCGGCCAGCCUGGACACACGUUAGAACUGGCUGGGGAGGGUCUGUAGGGGAGGCCGGACUCAGGGCUCACCCUGGAGAGGAGGACAAAGGGUGCUGAAUCUGGACUGAAUCCGACCUCUAGCCCUACCUGAAACAGGUCCUGGAGCUGCUACUGCUGGCUUAGGCUGGUUGGUGGAAAGGAUCCAGGGCUGUUGUGAAGGCCUUGGGGAGUCCAGAAGCCGCCUGGCACCUUCUGGGUCCAGACGCUGCCCUUCAGCCCUGCCAUUUCAGCCAGCCUCAGCGUCGCUGUAGAGGCAGGCCGCCCUUUCUGCCACUGUCUGGCUGGGCUGGGCCGUGGGAGUGCUGGCCAACGUGCCAGGCAGGGAGGACCUGAAUUCCUGAAGGUGGUGGUGGCAGCUGUUAGGGUCCACAGGUUAAUGAUCUCCAACGUCACACAGAAGAGAAUGUGCUGAGGUGUGACCUCCCUCACCCUGCCUUGGCUGCGUGGGGCACCGUCUCUCCAGGACUCACCCUGCCCCCCAAUAGACUGAAGUCUGAAGAUCAGCCCAGUCUUCCUUCAGGCCUCAAUGCCCUCUCACUUCCCCAGCCCGAGGGACUCCUGGCUCUUCUCGGAGGCUGCUCUGUGGGGUCCCUCCCUUGGGCCUUUGCUAAUGCUGUGCCCUCUGCCUGUGCCAGAGGUGGGCCUGGGCCCGUUUCUCAGGGAGCUCCUGAACACCAAGAAAUUGAAUUGCUUUGUAAAUAAACAAAAAGUGCCAAACAAGCCUGCCUGUCACUUGGGAGGGAACCCCACCUACAGACCGUCUCCUCCAGGAAACCUAGCAGUGCU
rnacentral:lncRNA from 1 species